rnacentral:rRNA from 1 species
UUGGAGGGCAAGUCUGGUGCCAGCAGCCGCGGUAAUUCCAGCUCCAAUAGCGUAUAUUAAAGUUGUUGCAGUUAAAAAGCUCGUAGUUGAAUUUCGGGAUCAAUAUGCCGGUCAUGCCUUGGUAUGCACUGGUAUCUUUGGUUUCUCCCUUCUGACGAACUUUGAUGUCAUUAAUUUGGUGUCAUAGGGAAUCAGGACUGUUACUUUGAAAAAAUUAGAGUGUUUAAAGCAAGCUCACGCUUGAAUACAUUAGCAUGGAAUAAUGAAAUAGGACGUUUGAUUCUAUUUUGUUGGUUUCUAGGAUCGACGUAAUGAUUAAUAGGGAUAGUUGGGGGCAUUAGUAUUCAAUUGUCAGAGGUGAAAUUCUUGGAUUUAUUGAAGACUAACUACUGCGAAAGCAUUUGCCAAGGAUGUUUUCAUUAAUCAAGAACGAAAGUUAGGGGAUCGAAGACGAUCAGAUACCGUCGUAGUCUUAACCAUAAACUAUGCCGACUAGGGAUCGGAUGAUGUUAAUUUUUUAAUGACUCAUUCGGCGCCUUACGGGAAAC